CCUACGGGAGGCAGCAGUGAGGAAUAUUGGUCAAUGGACGAGAGUCUGAACCAGCCAAGUAGCGUGAAGGAUGACUGCCCUAUGGGUUGUAAACUUCUUUUAUAUGGGAAUAAAAUGUCCCACGGGUGGGAUUUUGUAUGUACCAUAUGCAUAAGGAUCGGCUAACUCCGUGCCAGCAGCCGCGGUAAUACGGAUGAUCCGAGCGUUAUCCGGAUUUAAUGGGUUUAAAGGGAGCGUAGGUGGAUUGUUAAGUCAGUUGUGAAAGUUUGCGGCUCAACCGUAAAAUUGCAGUUGAAACUGGCAGUCUUGAGUACAGUAGAGGUGGGCGGAAUUCGUGGUGUAGCGGUGAAAUACUUAGAUAUCACGAAGAACUCCGAUUGCGAAGGCAGCUCACUGGACUGCAACUGACACUGAGGCUCGAAAGUGUGGGUAUCAAACAGGAUUAGAUACCCGGGUAGUC
rnacentral:rRNA from 1 species